UUUUAGUGCACACGAAUAUUCCAUUUCGAGUAUAUGGUCUUUGGAAAGUGGGCACAAAAAUACAAAUCGAGACCUUUCGUAAUGAACUUUUCAGUUGAAAUAAAAUUGUCGUAGGUCUCACCAUUGUCGAUUCGAGUUUAAAGAUUAUCAAAUGAAGUCGACCCACUUUCUCAGUCAUUACAUCGAACACCUGGUGUGUACCUGGAUUCCUUUCAAAUCCCAACAUCAGCAUAUAUUAAUCCAUUCGCAUAUUAUACAUAGCUUGGAAUUUGCUGGUAGGUAUGAUAUUGCCAGUGUUCAAGCUGGGCACACUUGCGCUGAAAACGCUUUGCAAACCCAUUGGCAAACGCAUCAAGAAAAAGGCGGGCCUGAACCCCAAGUUCAGGCAAUCCAUAAUCAACAUUGCCCAGGUCCGUAUCUCCUCCACUCAACCAGAAAAUGAUGUGCGCAUAAUAGAAGAGCUGAAAUUGUUAAAUUCUUGGUUUGUUGUGAUCGAAAUGCGAUUAAGUCAUAAUGAUUUUAGUUAUUCGUUAUAUUAGCGGUUUUAAGAUUAUCUUUUUGCAGAAUCUUGUUUGCGGGCAUAAGAGGAAGAACGUAGAUAUGUUCUCAAACACAUUUUGAAGGGAUAAUCAUGUAACGGUUGAUAUGUUUAUUUUAAGUCAAACAUGAUGACACUUAAAAUUGAUCACCUUUUAUUUCCUUCACAUUGACAAGAAUAUCAUUAACCAAUGUCUGUCAAAUAAAAAUCAACAUGAAUUCUACCAAAGCACAGAUAUAGCAAAAGAAGUGUUUGAACAGAAAUUAAUGAACAAAAGACAGUUUUCUAAAUAAAUUUGAACAAUAACCGAUGGGGCAAAUGCUCAAACAAUUUUUCAAUAAACAAGUCCAAUUACGAUUAAAAUUUGGACCUUGUUACAUGUAAUCAAGGUUUACAUAAGAGAUUAUAUAAUGCCACAAGACACCUUAUUAUCUGUCUAUUUUAAAUACAGUCAACUUUUUCAUUCAAUCUUUUUCCUUUAGAACAUUUUCGGUAACUGCCUAUGUACCAUCUUUAUAUACAAAUAGCAAAAUCUUUAAAAUUUUACAAUAUUUCAAUUAACAAUUCCCAAAAAUCAACAAUACUUAAUCCUAAUAACCAAACUUAAUUAAAGGUUAAAGAAUUAACAAUUUUCUAAUAAGCGAUUCUAACUAAGGUUUAAAACUUCCAAUCAAGAGUCACCAUUAUUGCUUCCUAAACGGUGAAAAUAACAAUUCAAUGAGGAAUGGGUUCUUGUGGUUCUAACUCAAUAUCCACUUGCAAAGAAUUAACGUCGUAUAGUGAAAAAUCAACCAUAACAAUAAAAAGAUAAUUUUCUUGAGUAUAAGUGCCUAUUAGUACUUUGAAUGGUCAUCCCUAAUUUCCAAAUAAUAGAGUAGUCAACUCUAUCAUACUUCGAAGUAGAUUAGAUGCUUCCAAUCUCUGAUGUUCGGACUCUUCGAAAUAAUCCGAGUACUAGUGUUGUACACGGCACAACAUAAGUAUGGGUAUGGGAUAUGUGUUGGAUCCUCCAAAUUUCAAUUAGACACUUCAUUGUUUUUGCUUCUUCUUCUUUCUUUUUUUUUUUCUCUUUUCUUUCCCGUUUUUGCUCUCUAUAAACCUAGCAUCGCCGCCGAGAGAGUGGAGAAAGGCGGGGACGAUAGGUUUUCCCUUCUCUUCUUAUUUAUUUUUUCUUUCCAUUUCUUCCUUUUUUUUCCGUCUUUCUCUCUCUAUAAUGGUGGUUUAGGGUUUUGUUCGUAUAAAAUGAAAAUAGGUUUCAUAUAGUGAUACUUAAUGCUCCACUAAAUCCAAAUUGCAAUCAAAUCCCUCAUUUUUAUUUUAUAACAUUUAGUAAUUCUCAUAAUUGAAAACUAAACUCCAAAAUUCUAUGUUAUUCGUCUUAACCUCUUAUUCAAUAUCAAUUUUCUUCUUUGUGAAUAAUUUAUUUUGGUCUAUUCAACAUGAAAUCUUGAAUUAGUAAAAAAAAUUGAAAUUUGAACGUAACCCAUGUACCCAUGUUCAAAAUCUGAACUCUUUUCAGCAAUAUUUCCGUAUCCUACAUUUUAUAAAAUAAAAGAUUUAACACUUAGAUACAUACCCGAACUUGACACCCAUACCCGAGUCCGAGUAUCAUAGCUUCUAAUGAUGCACACAUAAAGCCGGUAAAAAAUACACCAUGCCUUAUUCGUACCAAAUUCGACCAGAGGUAGUGGAAAUGCUUCUAUUGAUAUCGUCAAGUUGAGAAAAAGAAUGAGAAAGACGGAGUAAUUUUUGGAAUUGGAACACUAUGUGCCUUCGUAAAGAAGAGAUUAGGUGGGUUUGGCUUUAGGGCUAGGACUUGGAUUGCAUUUUUCUUUACAUGGACUGCAAUUUUUUGGAGUCUGAUUAAUUUCAUAACCAUUUAUUAGGACAUGACUUUGUUUCAGAAAAAUCUUGCACCUUAAUAUUUACCAGUCCCCUGGUGGAGACCUCUCUGAAGAACUUGGCAUCUAUCAAACUAAUCAUUUGUUUUGUGUAGCAUAACAAGUAUAGGAAUGAAAUCUGUUAGAUUAGAAUUAGUUUAACUGAUUAAAUAUCAGUUCCAUUAUGCAGAAGUUUUUAGGUUGAGAAAAAACCUGACAACAAUGAAUUAUGAGCAAACAUUGCUAAAAAAUCUUCAGUUUGCAACCCUAGCUAGUAAAUGAGAUGUCUUACAGUGAUGCAGCAGGAAGCAUUUUUGCUUGAAGGAGUAUGCAGUAGUAUCUGAUAACAAAGCUGUCAAAACACUUGUUUUGGAUUUGAUAUUAAUGUAAAGAAAUCAAUGAAUAUCUUAUACAGAGGAACAAGGUUCUCUCCUCUAGAAUCAUGUUAUCAUGGAGUCUCACUGAGAAGAAUAUGACACCACACUAUGCACCAGAAGGAAUCAUUUAAUCUAGGAUCUAGAUAUCAAAAGGCUAACCAUCGGUUCAGAACAACUGUGCAAAGGCAUAUUUAUGGUCAGGCAACGGAUGUUGCAAUUCGUC